rnacentral:rRNA from 1 species
CGAACGAUGAACCACUUCGGUGGGGAUUAGUGGCGAACGGGUGAGUAACACGUGGGCAAUCUGCCCUGCACUCUGGGACAAGCCCUGGAAACGGGGUCUAAUACCGGAUACUGAUCAUCUUGGGCAUCCUUGGUGAUCGAAAGCUCCGGCGGUGCAGGAUGAGCCCGCGGCCUAUCAGCUUGUUGGUGAGGUAACGGCUCACCAAGGCGACGACGGGUAGCCGGCCUGAGAGGGCGACCGGCCACACUGGGACUGAGACACGGCCCAGACUCCUACGGGAGGCAGCAGUGGGGAAUAUUGCACAAUGGGCGAAAGCCUGAUGCAGCGACGCCGCGUGAGGGAUGACGGCCUUCGGGUUGUAAACCUCUUUCAGCAGGGAAGAAGCGAAAGUGACGGUACCUGCAGAAGAAGCGCCGGCUAACUACGUGCCAGCAGCCGCGGUAAUACGUAGGGCGCGAGCGUUGUCCGGAAUUAUUGGGCGUAAAGAGCUCGUAGGCGGCUUGUCGCGUCGGUUGUGAAAGCCCGGGGCUUAACCCCGGGUCUGCAGUCGAUACGGGCAGGCUAGAGUUCGGUAGGGGAGAUCGGAAUUCCUGGUGUAGCGGUGAAAUGCGCAGAUAUCAGGAGGAACACCGGUGGCGAAGGCGGAUCUCUGGGCCGAUACUGACGCUGAGGAGCGAAAGCGUGGGGAGCGAACAGGAUUAGAUACCCUGGUAGUCCACGCCGUAAACGGUGGGCACUAGGUGUGGGCGACAUUCCACGUCGUCCGUGCCGCAGCUAACGCAUUAAGUGCCCCGCCUGGGGAGUAC